AAUGAACGCUGGCGGCAUGCCUAACACAUGCAAGUCGAACGAGACCUUCGGGUCUAGUGGCGCACGGGUGCGUAACGCGUGGGAAUCUGCCCUUGGGUUCGGAAUAACAGUUGGAAACGACUGCUAAUACCGGAUGAUGACGUAAGUCCAAAGAUUUAUCGCCCAAGGAUGAGCCCGCGUAGGAUUAGCUAGUUGGUGAGGUAAAGGCUCACCAAGGCGACGAUCCUUAGCUGGUCUGAGAGGAUGAUCAGCCACACUGGGACUGAGACACGGCCCAGACUCCUACGGGAGGCAGCAGUGGGGAAUAUUGGACAAUGGGCGAAAGCCUGAUCCAGCAAUGCCGCGUGAGUGAUGAAGGCCUUAGGGUUGUAAAGCUCUUUUACCCGGGAUGAUAAUGACAGUACCGGGAGAAUAAGCUCCGGCUAACUCCGUG
rnacentral:rRNA from 1 species